AUUGAACGCUGGCGGCAUGCCUUACACAUGCAAGUCGAACGAGUGGCGGACGGGUGAGUAAUGUCUGGGAAACUGCCUGAUGGCGGGGGAUAACUACUGGAAACGGUAGCUAAUACCGCAUACCAUCGGAUGUGCCCAGAUGGGAUUAGCUAGUAGGUGGGGUAAAGGCUCACCUAGGCGACGAUCCGUAGCUGGUGUGAGAGGAUGACCAGCCACACUGGGACUGAGACACGGUCCAGACUCCUACGGGAGGCAGCAGUGGGGAAUAUUGCACAAUGGGCGCAAGCCUGAUGCAGCCAUGCCGCGUGUAUGAAGAAGGCCUUCGGGUUGUAAAGCACUUUCAGCGAGGAGGCGUUACGCGCAGAAGAAGCACCGGCUAACUCCGUGCCAGCAGCCGCGGUAAUAC
rnacentral:rRNA from 1 species